ACCGUAUAACAAUCGAAACCGCAUGGUUUUGAUUUGAAAGGCGCUUUCGGGUGUCGCUGAUGGAUGGACCCGCGGUGCAUUAGCUAGUUGGUGAGGUAACGGCUCACCAAGGCCACGAUGCAUAGCCGACCUGAGAGGGUGAUCGGCCACAUUGGGACUGAGACACGGCCCAAACUCCUACGGGAGGCAGCAGUAGGGAAUCUUCGGCAAUGGACGAAAGUCUGACCGAGCAACGCCGCGUGAGUGAAGAAGGUUUUCGGAUCGUAAAACUCUGUUGUUAGAGAAGAACAAGGAUGAGAGUAACUGUUCAUCCCUUGACGGUAUCUAACCAGAAAGCCACGGCUAACUACGUGCCAGCAGCCGCGGUAAUACGUAGGUGGCAAGCGUUGUCCGGAUUUAUUGGGCGUAAAGCGAGCGCAGGCGGUUUCUUAAGUCUGAUGUGAAAGCCCCCGGCUCAACCGGGGAGGGUCAUUGGAAACUGGGAGACUUGAGUGCAGAAGAGGAGAGUGGAAUUCCAUGUGUAGCGGUGAAAUGCGUAGAUAUAUGGAGGAACACCAGUGGCGAAGGCGGCUCUCUGGUCUGUAACUGACGCUAAGGCUCGAAAGCGUGGGGAGCAAACAGGAUUAGAUACCCUGGUAGUCCACGCCGUACACGAUGAGUGCUAAGUGUUGGAGGGUUUCCGCCCUUCAGUGCUGCAGCUAACGCAUUAAGCACUCCGCCUGGGGAGUACGACCGCAAGGUUGAAACUCAAAGGAAUUGACGGGGGCCCGCACAAGCGGUGGAGCAUGUGGUUUAAUUCGAAGCAACGCGAAGAACCUUACCAGGUCUUGACAUCCUUUGACCACUCUAGAGAUAGAGCUUCCCCUUCGGGGGCAAAGUGACAGGUGGUGCAUGGUUGUCGUCACCUCCUGUCCUGAGAUGUUUGGGUUAAUUCCCGCAACGAGCGCAACCCUUAUUGUUAUUUGCCACCAUUCAAUUUGGCACUCCUUCCAGAACUGCCCGGUAAAAAAC
rnacentral:rRNA from 1 species